rnacentral:rRNA from 1 species
UACGGAGGGAGCUAGCGUUGUUCGGAAUUACUGGGCGUAAAGCGCGCGUAGGCGGCUUUGUAAGUUAGAGGUGAAAGCCCGGGGCUCAACCCCGGAACUGCCUUUAAAACUGCAUCGCUUGAAUCCGGGAGAGGUGAGUGGAAUUCCGAGUGUAGAGGUGAAAUUCGUAGAUAUUCGGAAGAACACCAGUGGCGAAGGCAGCUCGCUGGGACGUAACUGACGCUGAGACGCGAAAGCGUGGGGAGCAAACAGG